UUAGAUACCCUGGUAGUCCACGCUGUAAACGAUGUCGAUCUGGAGGUUGUGCCCUUGAGGCGUGGCUUCCGGAGCUAACGCGUUAAAUCGACCGCCUGGGGAGUACGGCCGCAAGGUUAAAACUCAAAUGAAUUGACGGGGGCCCGCACAAGCGGUGGAGCAUGUGGUUUAAUUCGAUGCAACGCGAAGAACCUUACCUACUCUUGACAUCCAGAGAACUUAGCAGAGAUGCUUUGGUGCCUUCGGGAACUCUGAGACAGGUGCUGCAUGGCUGUCGUCAGCUCGUGUUGUGAAAUGUUGGGUUAAGUCCCGCAACGAGCGCAACCCUUAUCCUUUGUUGCCAGCGGUUCGGCCGGGAACUCAAAGGAGACUGCCAGUGAUAAACUGGAGGAAGGUGGGGAUGACGUCAAGUCAUCAUGGCCCUUACGAGUAGGGCUACACACGUGCUACAAUGGCAUAUACAAAGAGAAGCGACCUCGCGAGAGCAAGCGGACCUCAUAAAGUAUGUCGUAGUCCGGAUUGGAGUCUGCAACUCGACUCCAUGAAGUCGGAAUCGCUAGUAAUCGUAGAUCAGAAUGCUACGGUGAAUACGUUCCCGGGCCUUGUACACACCGCCCGUCACACCAUGGGAGUGGGUUGCAAAAGAAGUAGGUAGCUUAACCUUCGGGAGGGCGCUUACCACUUUGUGAUUCAUGACUGGGG
rnacentral:rRNA from 1 species